rnacentral:tRNA from 1 species
GGGAUUGUGGCUCAGCGGGAGAGCGCUCACCUCGCAUUUGCGAGAGCCUGGGUUCGAUCCUCAACAACACA